rnacentral:misc_RNA from 1 species
GAUGAAGAACGCAGUGAAAUGCGAUACUUGGUGUGAAUUGCAGAAUCCCGUGAACCAUCGAGUCUUUGAACGCAAGUUGCGCCCGAAGCCAUUAGGCCGAGGGCACGCCUGCCUGGGCGUCACACGUCGUUGCCCCCCCAUCUACUCCUUCGGGAUUGCGGGGGGCGGAUGAUGGCCUCCCGUGCGCCUCGCCGCGCGGUUGGCAUAAAUGCCAAGUCCUCGGCGACGCACGCCACGACAAUCGGUGGUUGCGAAACCGCGGUUGCCCGUCGUGUGCGGUCGUCGCGCAUCGAGGGCUCGAAAAAAUUGCCGGGUUCCGGCUCGGCUUUCAACGCGACCCCAGGUCAGGCGGGGUUACCCGCUGAAUUUAAGCAUAUCAAUAAGCGGAGGA